UCCAUCCGUCACUUGCAGAAAACAAAAGAGAGCAAGAGAGAAGACAGUGGGUGAAGUCCUGGUUCCAGACUCCCCUUUUUGCCAGGAUAUGAUGGAUCUGUCAGCUGGUAGAAAUAUCUCCACAGGGUUAAUGACUCAAUUUUUCAUGCAUGAUUACUAGUAAUGACAAUCAUGUUAUGUUUGUUUCUGUAGCUUUGGAAAUCACUCCUUCCACUUGAGUUUCAGGUCCCAAUUGUCCACACCUGCAGGAGUGAGGUUUUGCUGAGACUGAUAAGGCACUCUCAUUUUGUGGGAGUUGAAUUGUCUCUGUAGCCUAGAAUCUAGAUUUUUCUUCCCUCCUCUGCUCUCAGUGAACGGAGAAUUCCAUCUCGGUACAAUCUGUGAACCA
rnacentral:lncRNA from 1 species